rnacentral:rRNA from 1 species
AGUGAACGCUGGCGGUAGGCCUAACACAUGCAAGUCGAACGGCAGCACAGUAAGAGCUUGCUCUUACGGGUGGCGAGUGGCGGACGGGUGAGGAAUACAUCGGAAUCUACUUUUUCGUGGGGGAUAACGUAGGGAAACUUACGCUAAUACCGCAUACGACCUACGGGUGAAAGCAGGGGAUCUUCGGACCUUUCGCGAUUGAAUGAGCCGAUGUCGGAUUAGCUAGUUGGGGGGGUAAAGGCCCACCAAGGCGACGAUCCGUAGCUGGUCUGAGAGGAUGGUGCGCCACUCUGGAUGUGAGACGCGGCACAGACCCCUAGGGGGGGCAGGAGUGGAGUAUUUGACAAUAGGGGCGAACGCGUGACAGAGCUACCCCGCGGGUGAAGAAGGCCUUCGGGUUGUAAAGCCCUUUUGUUGGGAAAGAAAAGCAGCAGGUUAAUACCCCGCUGUUCUGACGGUACCCAAAGAAUAAGCACCGGCUAACUUCGUGC